GCUUUCUGAGCAGCUGGUGUAGAUACAGAGAAACCAGCUUUCUUCAGAGAGC
rfam:Monodelphis domestica cont3.050369, whole genome shotgun sequence.